rnacentral:sRNA from 1 species
UUUGAAGUACAUGAAUUCCCUCUGCAUGUAUACUCCCACCUGACCGUUGAAUUAAGCAGCUACCAGGAGGCAACCUGAACGUGUCAGGGCCUGGGCACGACACUUGCCUUUCUUGGAGGAGUGAUUUGAAGCCAUAGUGGAAGACUGAGCCUCUAUAAAAAAUGAACGAGGACACUCUUAAUGGACAGAUACAAAACAAGCCCCAGGAGAAAGGUGUAUCAACCAUUUUAAAUCUGCCCUCAAAAGCACAGAACAAAUCAGACGGCAUUUUGCUCACAGAGGAGAGGGUCUAUGAGAACCAAAUUCCAGCUUCAGCACAUGGCCUUGGGCACCAAGACCUGUACUCUUUGGAGACUAUGAUGGACAACACAACAUGAAUUUCUUGCCCUCAGGUGGUUUACAAUCUAGUGAGGGAGGCAGACAAAUGACCAGAUGACAUCCGAGAGACCAAGCUUUGCCUGCCCUCCUGUGGCCUUGGCUGGGGGAUCCUCCUGUGGCCCAUGGAAGGGGCAUUUCUCUGAACUGAAGGACUCCACCUCUCCUAUGCUAUAACUGGCCAGGGAUGGGCCUGCAGUGGCUGA